AGUGAACGCUGGCGGUAGGCCUAACACAUGCAAGUCGAACGGCAGCACAGUAAGAGCUUGCUCUUACGGGUGGCGAGUGGCGGACGGGUGAGGAAUACAUCGGAAUCUACUUUUUCGUGGGGGAUAACGUAGGGAAACUUGCGCUAAUACCGCAUACGACCUACGGGUGAAAGCAGGGGAUCUUCGGACCUUGCGCGAUUGAAUGAGCCGCUGUCGGAUUAGCUAGUUGGCGGGGUAAAGGCCCACCAAGGCGACGAUCCGUAGCUGGUCUGAGAGGAUGAUCAGCCACACUGGAACUGAGACACGGUCCAGACUCCUACGGGAGGCAGCAGUGGGGAAUAUUGGACAAUGGGCGCAAGCCUGAUCCAGCCAUACCGCGUGGGUGAAGAAGGCCUUCGGGUUGUAAAGCCCUUUUGUUGGGAAAGAAAAGCAGCAGGUUAAGACCCCGCUGUUCUGACGGUACCCAAAGAAUAAGCACCGGCUAACUUCGUG
rnacentral:rRNA from 1 species